GACUCGAGACAAAAGAGGCACGAGCAAACGAAGAGAAACGAGAAGAGAGAAGAGCGAGUUCGCGUACGUGGGAGAAAAGGAGGGAUGACCGCACAGAGUAUCGUUAACCGGUAUACACAAGAGCACGUUCUCCAGCGUGCACAAGUGGCGAGGCACCACGAGUUAGUAUCGCGAGUGAACUCGGCCGACACGCAAGUAACCGCGUCCACACGCGUUUGCGAACCAGCGACUCUAUGAAUCGUUUGCCGUCGUCGAUCGUUUCCUCGAGCGGGAAAACCUUCAUGGAACCACGACGUUCGAAGAAUCACAACGUCGACGCUGACAUCGGAUACCGUCGUCGCAUUCUAUUUCCGUGCUCGCCGCGGCUGGUCUAGCGUAGCGGCGCGGCCAAGAGAGAGAAGUCUCGGAGGCGGCCACACCACGCAGUGUUGUUUGGAACGAAAAGCACGGAGGAGACCGAAGGAGUGUUGUGUGCUGCACCGUGCUGUGUCGCGAGACAGAAGGAGAAAGAGGGACUCGCGGUGAAUCGGCCCGUUAGUCGGCAGGAAUCUAGUAAGCCCGCCGUUAAUAUAUCAACCACAGCAGCUCCCUUAUCGCGUCCGUCGCGAUCAAAUGAAAUAAUAUUUCUUCCUAUCUUUCAAUAACGCCGUGCAAACGUUCCCCAACUUUCCGUACAAAGAUCCCUCGUUCGUCGUUGAAAACAAAAAAAGAGUUGUCCUUAUACCGACAGGACACUGACCCUCCCUUCUGCGACAAAAAUC